GUGGUUUAAUUCGAUGCAACGCGAAGAACCUUACCUACUCUUGACAUCCACAGAAUUUGGCAGAGAUGCUAAAGUGCCUUCGGGAACUGUGAGACAGGUGCUGCAUGGCUGUCGUCAGCUCGUGUUGUGAAAUGUUGGGUUAAGUCCCGCAACGAGCGCAACCCUUAUCCUUUGUUGCCAGCACGUAAUGGUGGGAACUCAAGGGAGACUGCCGGUGACAAACCGGAGGAAGGUGGGGAUGACGUCAAGUCAUCAUGGCCCUUACGAGUAGGGCUACACACGUGCUACAAUGGCAGAUACAAAGUGAAGCGAACUCGCGAGAGCCAGCGGACCACAUAAAGUCUGUCGUAGUCCGGAUUGGAGUCUGCAACUCGACUCCAUGAAGUCGGAAUCGCUAGUAAUCGUAGAUCAGAAUGCUACGGUGAAUACGUUCCCGGGCCUUGUACACACCGCCCGUCACACCAUGGGAGUGGGUUGCAAAAGAAGUAGGUAGCUUAACCUUCGGGAGGGCGCUUACCACUUUGUGAUUCAUGACUGGGGUGAAGUCGUAACAAGGUAACCGUAGGGGAACCUGCGGUUGGAUCACCUCCUUACCU
rnacentral:rRNA from 1 species